ensembl:lncRNA
GCUGGAGAGGGUGUAGGAGACAGUGAGGCUGGAGAGGGUGUAGGAGACAGUGAGCAUGGAGAGGGUGUAGGAGACAGUAAUGAUGGAGAGGGUGUAGGAUAUAGUGAGGGUGGAGAGGGUGAUGGAGACAGUGAGGGUGGAGAGGGUGAUGGAGACAGUGAGGCUGGAGAGGGUGUAGUAGACAGUGGGCUGGAGAGGGUGUGGGAGACAGUGAGGAUGGAGAUGGGUUAGGAGUCAGUGACCAUGGAGAGGGUGUAGGAGACCGUGAGGAUGGAGAGGGUGUAGAGGACAGUGAGGAUGGAGAGGGUGUAGGAGACAGUGAGGAUGGAGAGGGUGUAGGAGACAGUGAGGCUGGAGAGGGUGUAGGAGACAGUGAGGCUGGAGAGGGUGUAGGAGACAGUGAGGAUGGAGAGGGUGUAGGAGACAGUGAGACUGUAGAGGGUGUAGGAGACAGUGAGACAGGAGAGGGUGUAGGAGACAGUGAGGCUGGAGAGGGUGUAGGAGACAGUGAGACUGGAGAGGGUGUAGGAGACAGUGAGACUGGAGAGGGUGUAGGAGACAGUGAGGGCUGAGAGGAUGUAGGAGACAGUGAGAUGGAGAGGGUGUAGAGACAGUGAGGAGGAGAGAGGGUGUAGGAGACAGUGAGUCUGAGAGGGUGUAGGAGACAGUGAGAU